AUCAACCAGGUAGCAUUCCUUUCGCGACGCUAGCACCGCCCAAGCCCGUUGACUAAUCAAGUAGGCAAGGACGAUACAGCGGUCAUCCGCAACAAGCGACAACGCCUUUUGGGUAAAGAACAAUCACGACUUGUAUACCCACAUAAGUUUCCGCAUCCGAGAAUACGAGCUGCAACUGGUGGCCAUGAUGACCGCACAUAGUGUGCAAUUUACACGAAGCACGAGCAGCACUUUUCGGCCCACCUCCACCACCAUGUAGUAGUGGAAGGCGAGAGUAGGGACUUUUACGAUCUAAUUCCGUCGCAUUGGGUAUAAGACACAGGAAACCCACGAUUUGCACAAGGAGCAUAUCGCUCCGGCCGCACUAUUGAAGAGAAAUUUACGAGAGGGACUUCACCGCGCAAGCAGAGAAUUAUCCAAACUCGAGAAAAUCGUCCAACACCCA
rnacentral:misc_RNA from 1 species